AGAGUUUGAUCCUGGCUCAGGAUGAACGCUGACAGAAUGCUUAACACAUGCAAGUCUACUUGAACUUCGGUUUGGGUGGCGGACGGGUGAGUAACGCGUAAAGAACUUGCCUCACAGUUAGGGACAACAUUUGGAAACGAAUGCUAAUACCUGAUAUUAUGAUUUUAGGGCAUCCUAAGAUUAUGAAAGCUAUAUGCGCUGUGAGAGAGCUUUGCGUCCCAUUAGCUAGUUGGAGAGGUAACGGCUCACCAAGGCGAUGAUGGGUAGCCGGCCUGAGAGGGUGAACGGCCACAAGGGGACUGAGACACGGCCCUUACUCCUACGGGAGGCAGCAGUGGGGAAUAUUGGACAAUGGACCAAAAGUCUGAUCCAGCAAUUCUGUGUGCACGAUGACGUUUUUCGGAAUGUAAAGUGCUUUCAGUUGGGAAGAAAAAAAUGACGGUACCAACAGAAGAAGUGACGGCUAAAUACGUGCCAGCAGCCGCGGUAAUACGUAUGUCACAAGCGUUAUCCGGAUUUAUUGGGCGUAAAGCGCGUCUAGGUGGUUAUGUAAGUCUGAUGUGAAAAUGCAGGGCUCAACUCUGUAUUGCGUUGGAAACUGCAUGACUAGAGUACUGGAGAGGUAAGCGGAACUACAAGUGUAGAGGUGAAAUUCGUAGAUAUUUGUAGGAAUGCCGAUGGGGAAGCCAGCUUACUGGACAGAUACUGACGCUAAAGCGCGAAAGCGUGGGUAGCAAACAGGAUUAGAUACCCUGGUAGUCCACGCCGUAAACGAUG
rnacentral:rRNA from 1 species